rnacentral:rRNA from 1 species
UGCCUACGGCUGACCAGCAACUUGGAAGAAUGUAUGUGAAAGCUUAUUAUAUUUAUCGUAAGAUAAAAAUAUAGCUACGCAGCUUCGAUUAUAUCGAAUAAAAUUCUAGAUGUAAACUGAUUAUGACAAAAUUUUAUCUAUAAGUCUUGACUAAAUUACGUGCCAGCAGUCGCGGUAAUACGUAAAAGACUAGUGUUAUUCAUCUUUAUUAGGUUUAAAGGGUACUUAGACAGCAUUAUUAGCCUAAAAUAAGGUACGAUAUUGCUAGAGUUUUAUUUAAGAAGGGAGAACUCAUAGAGUAGAGAUAAAAUUCACUGAUACUAUGGGGACUGGUAAUGGCGAAAGCAACCUUUUAUCUAAAAACUGACGUUGAAGGACGAAGGCUUAGGUAGCGAAUAGGAUUAGAUACCCUAGUAGUCUAAGCAGAAAAUUCUGAAUGCCAUAAACUAGACCUAUUUUAGUUUAUCAAUGAAAGUGUAAGCAUUCCACCUCAAGAGUAAUGUGGCAACGCAGGAACUGAAAUCAUUAGACCGUUUCUGAAACCAGUAGUGAAGUAUGUUAUUUAAUUCGAUAGUCCUCGAAAAACCUUACCACAAUUUGAAUAUUAUUUUAUUAGUCUUGCUAAUGUUGGUAACUCCAAAAGCAGCUAGGUACUAACAAAAAUAUUACAAGUGUUGCACGGCUGUCUUCAGUUAAUGUCGUGAGAUUAUGGUUAGUUCCAUAAAAUUAACGUAAACCCUUGCUUUAUUUUUAAAUUUGUUUUAAUAAAGCUGUUCUCCAUAAUAUUGGAUAUGAUAAUGCGGGACCAAGACAAGUCAUNCAUGGCCUAA